CAUGUUGCUUGUUGCCUUGGGCCCCCAGGCACCCUUGCUACGCCUCUGGUUAUAUUACCAUGUUUCACCUAUAAAAUCCCAAAGAAAUCUGGCUGUGGCCAUUCACUUCUGUGUCUUGACACUCGAUGAUACAUGCUACAUGGAGUUUUUGGAUCGAAACAAGAUGGGUGAGAAUGGGACCAGGUGCUGUUGAUCAUCGUCAUUAGCUUACUUAAACCGGUCCUUGGCCUCACAUCAUCACCAGAUCAACAAUUCACCUACAGGCCGGAUUCUUCGGACUCUAUCUAACACUCCCUCUCAUCGUCAAUGAAUUAGGUCCCCUGUUACUCCAGAACCUUAACAAAUAUGUUAUUACCAGUCUAAAAAUGGGUCAUCUUUAAUGUGGAGCUGCUUGUUCCAAUUAAAAUAUUUUGUAAA